rnacentral:lncRNA from 1 species
GUCUCGAAGAUGCCACUCGACGUUGGUGUCUCAAGCUAUGUAGGCUCCUGACUAUUGGGGGGAUCGCCAACUGGGGGUUGAGUCAUGCCCCGAUCGGGGACUUUGAGAUCACCAUCACCUCGAUUUCAAGCUUUUGGAGUGGCUCUGAUGGGUCUGCCUCCUCCCAGGACUCUGAGAAGUGACUUGCGACUGAUCAGGCAAUUGUGCCAUCACCUGCGGCACCGGAUCUGAUCGUGGGGCUGUAGAUGGCAAAAUUGGAGUAGUCAAUGGGGUGACGGUGCCACUGAUGGGGGUGCCGGGGUGGUCUGGAUCAACUAGACGACGGACGUCAAAGUCUUAUCUACUAGAAAAAUAGGUUGAACUGCUCUGCCAUCACCACCACCGACUAUGGAGGUGGAGGGUUUUUCGCUGCCACCGAUGGAGCCGCAUGGUUAACCUGGCUCUCCUUUGGUUGUACAGUGGUGUUGGUGCAGUGGGAUGAUGUUCUUCUAGGUGCCAUAGGUGGUCUGCCUCGAUCUAUGUUCUUCCAAGUAGGGACGGCCCCUUCCUCUAGCACCAAUCUGUUGGUGCAAGAUUUCGGUUGGCACCAGAAGAACUGGAGCAGAUGAUUGAGAUCUAUCUCUGGGGGUG